GUGCUUGCUUCGGCAGCACAUAUACUAAAAUUGGAACGAUACAGAGAAGCUUAGCAUGGCCCCUGCACAAGGAUGACACGCAAAUUUUUGAAGCGUUCCAUAUUUAA